rnacentral:rRNA from 1 species
UACGUAGGGUGCGAGCGUUGUCCGGAUUUAUUGGGCGUAAAGAGCUUGUAGGCGGUUUGUCGCGUCUGCUGUGAAAUUUCGGGGCUCAACCCCGAACUUGCAGUGGGUACGGGCAGACUAGAGUGUGGUAGGGGAGACUGGAAUUCCUGGUGUAGCGGUGAAAUGCGCAGAUAUCAGGAGGAACACCGAUGGCGAAGGCAGGUCUCUGGGCCACUACUGACGCUGAGAAGCGAAAGCAUGGGGAGCGAACAGG